AACCUUCCUCGCAAUUUGAAAAGAAGUUUGAUCUCAAGAGUCCAAAUUGAGUCGUAACUCCCGGGAUAAAAUCAAAAUGAAAGUGAAAAUAUUUCCUAGCGCUAGUAAAAAUUUUACUAAGCCAAAGCUUAAGAGGAAAAUAAAGAAAGGAAAGUGGUUGUUGCUUUGUCUUUUUAUGAUUUCAUUUGAUUACUAAGAAAAGUAUAGAUGAAGAGAGAAAAAGGAAAAGAGGGAAUUUGUUGAUAAAAUGAUGAGAAAUAUUUUUAUGGAAGGGAAGGGAGGUUUGCAAUGGGUAAUGUUAUUGGAUUAUCUUUGGAUAUCGCCAACCACUGCUAUUCGAUACCAUUGAAACGUCACUGCUUUCAGUUGGGAUCCAAGUUUGUUGUUGUUGAUAUCGAGUCAAUACCAUCCUCCUUGGCAACAGUGGAGUUCGCUUCUCCUUAUCUGCGCUUCUUCAAGCGCACUUCAUGACCAUGAUCCUUUGUCCUCAAUUUUCUCUUGGGUCUCGCUCGCAGAUCCACCGCCACCGCCACCGCCACCGCCACCGCCACUACAACCAAAACCGAUUUCCUACCUUCCGUUUCUCUUCUCGAUGGAUCCCACUUCUCGCCCCGCUGUCGUCAUCGACAACGGCACUGGAUAUACUAAGAUGGGAUUUGCGGGUAAUGUAGAGCCGUGUUUUAUUCAACAAACAGUAGUAGCAGUUAACGAAUCUCUUCUAAAUCAAUCUAGAGCUUCUUCCAAAUCUAAUUGGUUAGCUCAGUAUUCAGCUGGGGUAAUGGCAGAUCUUGAUUUCUUCAUUGGAGAUGAAGCACUCACGCGAUCACGAUCAAGUAAUAACUAUAACAUUACCCAUCCCAUUAAGCAUGGUCAAGUGGAUAAUUGGGAUGCUAUGGAACGAUAUUGGCAACAAUGUAUUUUUAAUUAUUUACGGUGUGAUCCCGAGGAUCAUUACUUCUUGCUGACUGAGAGUCCACUUACUGCUCCUGAGAAUCGAGAAUAUAUGGGUGAAAUCAUGUUUGAGACGUUUAAUGUUCCAGGGCUUUAUAUUGCUGUGAAUUCUGUCCUUGCUUUAGCUGCUGGGUACACGACAUCUAAGUGUGAGAUGACAGGGGUGGUAGUGGAUGUUGGAGAUGGGGCUACGCAUAUUGUUCCUGUUGCAGAUGGUUAUGUUAUUGGGAGCAGCAUUAAAUCAAUACCAAUAGCAGGAAAAGAUGUUACUCUCUUUAUACAACAACUGAUGCGGGAAAGGGGAGAGAAAGUUCCACCCGAGGACUCAUUUGAAGUAGCUCGGAAAGUGAAGGAGAGAUAUUGCUAUACUUGUUCUGAUAUUGUCAAGGAGUUCAACAAGCAUGAUAAAGAACCUUCAAAGUACAUCAAACAAUGGAGAGGUAUUAGACCGAAAACAGGGACACCAUACUCCUGUGAUAUUGGUUAUGAACGAUUUUUGGGCCCAGAGGUUUUGUUUAAUCCCGAGAUCCAUAACAGUAAUUUUACAACUCCUUUGCCGGCUGUAAUAGAUAAGUGCAUUCAGUCAGCUCCAAUUGACACAAGAAGGGCUUUGUAUAAGAAUAUAGUGUUAUCUGGUGGAUCAACCAUGUUCAAAGACUUCCACAGAAGGUUGCAGCGGGAUCUGAAAAAGAUUGUAGAUGCCCGAGUUCUUGCUUCUGAUGCUCGGUAUGGUGGGGAAGUAAAAGCACAACCUGUGGAAGUUAAUGUAGUCAGUCAUCCUAUCCAAGGAUUUGCAGUGUGGUUUGGAGGCUGCUGAAUGGCAUCGAGUUUGGCUUCUAUUGUCAGCUAAUGUUCUUGCUUCGGUUGAUAUGUCAAUUUUCUGAUGCGCUUCCCAUUACUGUUGCCUUGUGCAUCAAUCUUAAUCUCAUAUGCUAAAACUUGGCUUUUGGCUGAAAGUCUGCUGACCUCUUCAAUGUGCAGGCAUCUCAUACAAAAGCAGAAUAUGAGGAACACGGAGCAAGCAUUUGCCGCACAAAUCCUGUGUUUAAGGGGAUGUAUUGAGGCAAAUAUCCUUUUCAGGAGUAAAGGGUCCUAAUGGCAGCACUAUAGAAUGCAGUCAGAUUUGUUACCCGCAAGCACUGCCUACGCUUGUUGAUCGGAUGGAUAUCAAAUAGUUGGAAAAAAAUGGUGGUUGGUUGUGUUUUGGUGGGAGCAGCAGCAAACCCGGUCGUGUUUAGGUGGGAGCAGCAGCAAACCCGGUGGUGUUUAAGUGUCAUUUCUUUCACCAGUGCAUUUUCUGUUAGCAAACAAGAUGGGAAUACUUUUGUGUUAGAAAUUCAGUUUUCUUAUUAUUGACAUUUUGUAAUUUGGUGUUGAUCUUUUGUGUAAUAUAUAAAGUUGGCUAAUAUUCAAAUAUGGUUUGCUUGUAAUUAAGGUACAUUUUACGACAAUUAUGGUGUUCUUUAUAUGGGAUUUAUUUUUCUCUUAUCAUUUCUCUAGGGGUGUGCUUGGACACUUGGUUGGGGAAAAGUGAAAAUAAAAUUAAUUUUUCCAGAUUGGAAUGAUAAGAGGAGGAAAAA